rnacentral:rRNA from 1 species
AGGGUUCGAUUCUGGCUCAGGACGAACGCUGGCGGCGUGCUUCAUACAUGCAAGUCGAACGAGAAUCUGGCUUCGGUCAGAGGAAAGUGGCGGACGGGUGAGUAAUGCGUAGAGAAUCUGCCCUUUAGUGGGGGACAACAGUUGGAAACGACUGCUAAUACCCCAUAUGCGCGUAGCUGAGAUGCUAUUCGUGAAAACUCCGGUGCUAAAAGGAUGAGUCUGCAUCUGAUUAGCUAGUUGGCGGUGUAAUGGACCACCAAGGCGACGAUCAGUAGCUGGUUUGAGAGGAUGAUCAGCCACAAUGGGACUGAGACACGGCCCAUACUCCUACGGGAGGCAGCAGUAGGGAAUUUUGCGCAAUGGGGGAAACCCUGACGCAGCAACGCCGCGUGAUUGAAUAAGCCCUUCGGGGUGUAAAGAUCUGUCAGUAGGGACGAAACUUGACGGUACCUACAGAGGAAGCAUCGGCUAACUCCGUGCCAGCCGCCGC